CUGGAGCAAUUAUGAGAGUCCACGGCCUCUCUUCUCUGGUUCUACCCUCUCCCAAUCUCUCACCUGUGCCGAUCACCUCAGUAAUUUGGAAACGGGCUAAGGAGGUCUCUCUUGGCACUGAGCUGUGACACCUUGGGGGAGAAAAAGUGCAGGACCAGAAAAUCUUUCUCUUCCAGUCAGUGUCAUUCAUUUAUGACCAGCGGUUGAAUCCAGUCAUAAAAUCUGAAGCUCCUGGGUACCUCUACAUCACUGGGCCUAUGAUACACUGUUUCAGAACGUACUUACACAUGGGGUGGGACGAUUUUCUUAACUAAUACUUGUGACUACUCCACAGCAAAGCUGGAAACAAAAGUAUUGGGUGAGCUAUCUUCCAAAAUCUGGAGAUGGUUUCGGAGAGAGUUUCAUUGCCAUAAAUUUAAAGGGGGAUUGGAUUUACUCAGGAAAAAUUACAAGUGAGCGUAGGAGAUAAACUAGUAAAUGCCAUAUUUGGCCCACCAGGCACAAAGAAGGGUUAUAAUUGGCUCCUUUAAGUCCUAUAUGCAGAUAUCAAAUCCCUAUACUUGCUCUUUAUUGCAUAGAAUAAAUUUACCUCACUCCUUACUUUGAAACAUGAAAUGAGGAUCAAAUUAUAGUUUCAAUUAUUGCAAAUAGUUGUACAAAUGAAAAGAUUGUCUUAUUGUGGGCAUUACACAAACCCACCAAGGAAUAAGUAAUCUUUAAAUUCUAUGAAGUGAUUUGUAAUCUGAUACAGUAAGAAAAAAAAAUCUCAGACUUUGAUUAAUUACCACCACGCUCACCGCUAUAUCACUGUCCAAUGUCAUCAUAAUUUCACUGCCACUUAAAACUACACUUCAGCCAUAGAAAGCCAAAAAAUUAGGCACUGGUGACCUGUC